rnacentral:rRNA from 1 species
UACGGGGGAUGCAAGCGUUAUCCGGAAUCAUUGGGCGUAAAGCGCCUGUAGGUUGUUUAAUAAGUCUGUUGUUAAAGACUAGGGCUCAACCCUAGAAAAGCAAUGGAAACUACUAGACUAGAGUAUGGCAGGGGUAGAGGGAAUUUCUAGUGUAGCGGUGAAAUGCGUAGAUAUUAGAAAGAACACCAGUGGCGAAAGCGCUCUACUGGACCAUUACUGACACUCAGAGGCGAAAGCUAGGGUAGCAAAAGGGAUUAGAUACCCCUGUAGUCCUAGCCGUAAACGAUGGAUACUAAACAUUGCGUGCUCGCCGUGGUGUUAUAGCUAACGCGUUAAGUAUCCCGCCUGGGGAGUAUGCUCGCAAGGGUG